GUUGUACUCGGUUGCGAAAACUUCUUACAACUUAGGUUGAUUUAUUUUUACUGCGGCCCAGUUAGAUCAUCUGAAAACAACAUGCUUUAGUAACUCAAAUGCAACUCAGAAAGUCGCUCGGCUGGUGUGUUGUGUUCUCAUUGCUCUCUUUAUAUUUGCAUUUCCAAUUGUGCCACGUGAUCAAGCAACGUUAAUGGUGGAAGACAGUUGACAUUCUAGACUGUAUUUUUUUUCAUUGCUCGGUAGAUUAAGAUUCAUUUAUCUUUCCUCGCUAGUAUCAACCAGCUUACUCACGCUUAAGACCUUCUAGAGCUGAAGUUGCGCUGCUUGCUUUUGCAGGACUACUUCCGCUUGGCUGCGCCACCAGUCCGCCGGCCCUUCAGUUCCUCUGGCUCUUGCUCUCGGUGUCUCCGGUCGAAAUCCCAAACCAUUCCUGGAUAGCGAUCCUACCAAAUCAAAAAGUCCGGCGACCGCCAUUUGCCGAAGGCUUGGUUGAUCACUGGGCAACCUCCUUUGGAUGGCUCUACAUGGUAGAAUACUACAUUGUCGAACGUAGUUAAAGGACACGAAAAAGGGAGUUCCUCUCCAAUCCCUCUCUCGCUCGAGAAUCACAAGGAGCCACGACACCUAGGCAGCAGCUAAACGCGAUUGCCAAGCCAACAAACCUUGUUUCAUGUGAUUCGAUGGCAAUAUUCUUCUACUGAAAUAUGCAAAACAUGAAUAACUAGGAUUUUAAAAGUUUUUAAUACUCAGCAAUUAUAAUACCUUGUUAAAAUGGUCAUGAAAACAGAAUAUUCCAAUCGAUAUCUUUUAAAGUAUCACUUUAUGUCAGCAAAGAUAAUAGGGGCCAAUAUUUUUGUUGUGAAUUUUACACAAAAGAUCUACUUAGCUAUUGAUUUUACAGAAGAAAGAUUGAUUUUUCCGUACCCUAUAAUUGUUUAAAAGUUU
rnacentral:lncRNA from 1 species